GACGAACGCUGGCGGCGUGCUUAACACAUGCAAGUCGAACGGAAAGGCCCUGCUUUUGUGGGGUGCUCGAGUGGCGAACGGGUGAGUAACACGUGAGUAACCUGCCCUUGACUUUGGGAUAACUUCAGGAAACUGGGGCUAAUACCGGAUAGGAGCUCCUGCUGCAUGGUGGGGGUUGGAAAGUUUCGGCGGUUGGGUAUGGACUCGCGGCUUAUCAGCUUGUUGGUGGGGUAGUGGCUUACCAAGGCUUUGACGGGUAGCCGGCCUGAGAGGGUGACCGGGAACAUGGGGACAGAGAUACGGCCCAGACGCAAAAGGGAGGAAGGAGUGGGGAAUAUUGCACAAAGGGCGGAAGCCUGAUGCAGCAACGCCGCGUGCGGGAUGACGGCCUUCGGGUUGUAAACCGCUUUCGCCUGUGACGAAGCGUGAGUGACGGUAAUGGGUAAAGAAGCACCGGCUAACUACGU
rnacentral:rRNA from 1 species